CGUAGCGGGACACUACGUUAAAAGUUCCAAUUAAAUAUAAACGCAGACAAUAGAGAAUUAGCGUACGCUGCUUAAUUUAAGCGGCAGUCGGCCUUAAGUAAUCCGCUGCUUAAGUCACCGGCUUCAUCAAUGCGGAGCACUUCGUUUCCAAAGCUUUGAGGGAAUGGAAGAAUUUAUGAAGCUACUGACCCCGGAAGCUUGUCAUUAAGCGGCCGGCAGAGGGAAUGUUAAAGUAAUGACUGUGAUGGGAGACGCUCUGGUGGAUGGGCUUUCGGACGCGGGUUCAACUCCCGCCAGGUCCACUC
rnacentral:tmRNA from 1 species